rnacentral:hammerhead_ribozyme from 1 species
AUCGAGCUGACGAGUCUCAAAUAGGACGAGGUGCGCGUCCUGGAU